UACGAAGGGGGCUAGCGUUGCUCGGAAUUACUGAGCGUAAAGCGCACGUAGGCGGAUUGUUAAGUCGGGGGUGAAAUCCUGGAGCUCAACUCCAGAACUGCCUUCGAUACUGGCGAUCUCGAGUUCGGGAGAGGUGAGUGGAACUGCGAGUGUAGAGGUGAAAUUCGUAGAUAUUCGCAAGAACACCAGUGGCGAAGGCGGCUCACUGGCCCGAUACUGACGCUGAGGUGCGAAAGCGUGGGGAGCAAACAGG
rnacentral:rRNA from 1 species